UACGUAGGCAGCAAACGUUGUUCGGAAUUACUGGGCGUAAAGAGUGUGUAGGCGGUUCUGUAAGUUUGGUGUGAAAUCUCCCGGCUUAACUGGGAGGGUGCGCCGGAAACUGCAAGGCUUGAGUGCUGGAGAGGAUAGCGGAAUUCCUGGUGUAGCGGUGAAAUGCGUAGAUAUCAGGAGGAACACCGGCGGUGUAGACGGCUAUCUGGACAGUAACUGACGCUGAGACACGAAAGCGUGGGGAGCAAACAGG
rnacentral:rRNA from 1 species